rnacentral:rRNA from 1 species
UACGAAGGGGGCUAGCGUUGUUCGGAUUUACUGGGCGUAAAGCGCACGUUGGCGGAUCGAUCAGUCAGGGGUGAAAUCCCAGGGCUCAACCCUGGAACUGCCUUUGAUACUGUCGAUCUGGAGUAUGGAAGAGGUGAGUGGAAUUCCGAGUGUAGAGGUGAAAUUCGUAGAUAUUCGGAGGAACACCAGUGGCGAAGGCGGCUCACUGGUCCAUUACUGACGCUGAGGCUCGAAAGCGUGGGUAGCGAACAGG